rnacentral:rRNA from 1 species
AGGACGAACGCUGGCGGCGUGCUUAACACAUGCAAGUCGAGCGGUAAGGCCUUUCGGGGUACACGAGCGGCGAACGGGUGAGUAACACGUGGGUGAUCUGCCCUGCACUUCGGGAUAAGCCUGGGAAACUGGGUCUAAUACCGGAUAUGACCUCCUAUCGCAUGGUGGGUGGUGGAAAGAUUUAUCGGUGCAGGAUGGGCCCGCGGCCUAUCAGCUUGUUGGUGGGGUAAUGGCCUACCAAGGCGACGACGGGUAGCCGACCUGAGAGGGUGACCGGCCACACUGGGACUGAGACACGGCCCAGACUCCUACGGGAGGCAGCAGUGGGGAAUAUGCACAAUGGGCGAAAGCUGAUGCAGCGACGCCGCGUGAGGGAUGACGGCCUUCGGGUGUAAACCUCUUUCAGCAGGACGAAGCGCAAGUGACGGUACCUGCAGAAGAAGCACCGGCUAACUAACGUGCCAGCAAGCCGC